ACUUAGAGGUAAGCGAGGAAGAAAUUAUGCUCCCAUGUUGGAUUCUACAUGGGUUGUGUUGAGUUUAGCGGAACUGCACCGAAAUAAAUGUCUUCUCCAGCUCAAGCAGACGAAGAUGAGGUGGAAGAAGAAGUGGAGUUCGUAUCAGAGGGCCCUCUCAGACCAGUAUUGGAAUGCAUUGAUCUGCUGAGUGACAGUGAGGAUGAGGGAUGUUCAUCAUUUACAGGAGUGCUUGAGGAUAAAAUCACCCGACACAAAGCUCGUGUUACAUCUACACUGGACAGACUGGCACAGCAGGUGGCACUAGAGAAGAAGGAACGAGCAGAUAAAUGCAGAGCGUUCAAGGAGAAGCAAAUCUUACAAAAAGCUCAUGGACAGCAGGAGUUGGCAUUCAGUUCUGCAAAUGGAAUUAAUCAGGAAGCAAAGCGCUGUGUAGACAUGUGGUUAAAGAUGCCAGGUCUUCAGCCAGGAGUAAUCGGUGUUGGUUCUGGUAGAAGGCGCAGACCUGCUUCUUUCCCCAUAAAGAGUUCAACUAGACACACUUGUCCAGUGAUUAACUGUGGUCGCAUUUAUGACAAUGCGUCCCUCCUUGACGGCCACUUAAAAAGGUUUGAUCACUCCCCCUGUGAUCCAACUAUCCAUCUGAAGGGAAGUCCAUCUGAGCUCUUUGCCUGUGUUGCCUGUGGUCAACAUUUUCAGACCAAAGAAGCAUGGAGGAAACAUCUUGAGUCUAAGGUGUCAUCUACUGCCGAUGCUCACAGCAUCACUCAGACCUAUCAGAGGAUUGUGUGUUUUGCCUGUCCUGCCUGCUACCUCUUCUUCAACCUCAGAGAUGAGUGUCUUCAGCAUAUGUCAGCCAAAAACCACUUCACAGAGGCUCUCACCAUGCAUGAACCCAGAGGAAGAGCACUGCCAGUUCCUGUCCCACAAUAUGUUAAGAAUCGUCUCAUCACUUUGUGCAAGGAUACAACAUUCAAUGUCCGAUGCUCUUUAUGUCACCAAGUACUGAUCUCACAUCAGGCAGCUCAGGCUCACUUCAAUGUGUACUGCAGACAGGGCUGUGCGGUGGCCAAGGCUGAUAAAACAAUAGUGCAGGUGAUGAAACAGCUGCAAGUGCAAGGGCAGUGCUCCCUCUGCUGUAAAAUCUUCCUCAGCCAAGCUGAAAUUGAGAAACACAAAGAAUCGACCCAGCAUGAUGUGGAGGUCAACCAAACAAUGGAGAAAGCACUUCUUCAGCUCUGCAGGUUUGAUGAAAUUCAACACACCCAGAGAGCUAAAGAAUGGAAAAGACUAUCCACUGGCCUUGAAACACCUUUUGAGAAAAGAAAACAGAAGAGAAAUGAUUGUGAAAGAUUUCCGACCAAACGGCAGAGGCUCAGCCCAAUUGUGAAUGGCAGCACUAGCAGAAACUCAGCAACAGCAUGGUUCUGUGAGUGUGGUCUACAGUUCUCAGAGGAGGCCACAGCCAGUAAGCAUCUCUUGGCUGUGAACCAGAUUUUCCAUCAGUGUGGCGUGUGUGGCAAACACAUGGGAGAGUCUUCAAUUACCCGCCUGCAUAUGAGUCGCUUUCAUGGGGGAGCUCAUCUCUCCAAUUUCCUCUUCUACUGCCGCAAGUGCAAAGUGGAAAUGCCUCGGUAUGAAGAUAUCCUGUUGCACGUGUCAGAAGCUCACAGUGGACACACCUACUUCACAGAACAAGAGGUGUCUGAGGAGGAUGCCACAGUCAUCGAUGCCAAGCCGUCCACCAGUAGCGUAGUCCCCAAACAUUCGUCCUCUAAGUCCACAGUCCAGCAGAACACAGUAGAGCCAUCCUCUUCAAAGGCUGACCAGACUUGGAUGUGCAGGAUGUGUGAGGACAUCUUUGACUCUGAAGUGGCCGUCCACAAACACUGCAGUGACGUGAGCAGUCACAGCUUUCAGAGGUUCAUCUGUGGACACUGUCCUCAGAAGUUCUUUAAAGAGUCCACUGUACGUAGACACUGUGUGAAUGAGCAUGAUGGGCAGAUAAAGAGCUCCCACUUCUGCGGUCUCUGCGACAGCAUGCAAUUUGAAUCUGAAGCGGAGUUCCUGGCGCACUACAAGAGUCUUCACAGUAAGGACUAUUACUGUAUGGAUGAUGUUGAAGUUGUUCAGCCUACCAUUACUGAAAGCACCAGUCAGCCCACAUGCCCAUGCAUGGGUUCAGAAAAGAGCAAAGAGGAAAUGAAAGCUACAUACACACAGUGCAUGAGGAAUCUGGCCGCUAAAGGGGAAUGUCAGUAUGUGUGCGCUCCUUGUGGGGUGUCUGUGCAAUCCUACGCACAGAUCAAGACUCACGUCCACACAAAACACGCAGCCUUGAACCUGGACAAGACGUUUGAUGUAGAAUGCAAAGCUUGCCAGGAGAGUUUUGUGGGUGUACCGAGUUUCCAUAAACACUAUCACUCCCAGCACUGCACGCUGGAACCCUGCACGAGCUCCAGGACCUGCGAGAAAGACAUGAAAGCAGAACCUACCACCGUAAAAAUACUCAAUGCUGUGGAGAUCGAACCAGACAACAAUGAGAGUGAAGAUGAAACGCGGGUGAAGUUUUCGAACAUCUGUCAAGCCAACAAAGAGAGUGAGGCAAAUGAAAAUGCUUCAGAUGAUGAGAUGAAGCAUGCACUGUCUUUGAUUAAUGAGGAAGAAGCAAGAGAGUCAGCAGAGUUGGAAGAAGCGCUUAAAAGAAGUCUUGUGGAAUACUAAUGACUUGAAAGCUUUUUGUGAUGCAGUUCAUCAGACAUUGAAAUGUUUUGUACAAGAAAAGUGAUAAUGUGAUACAAAGGAUACGCAGUGCACUACACCCAUCUGGAUGAAGAUAAAAGGAACUUUGGAGACUGGCUGUUGCACCAAAUUAUUUUUGUGCACUGGCUUAAAUAUGAACACUCUCCCAGUGGAAGUCCUGUAUAAGUACAGCUGCAGUUCUGGAAACAGCUUUUUGGGCUCUGAUAGUUUCUCCUCUUGUCUUUAAAAUGACUAUUUGGUGACUGGUGGAUUCACACUCCAAAUUGGCAGUAAGAUGUAUUUUGUGUUGAUGCAUCUUAAUUGGGAUAUACAUGAAUUUCCUAAAUAGGUUUCAUUUGCUUGUUUGCUUUUCCGCAUCUUCUUAGUCACUUGCAUAAUUUAUGAUUCUGACAAGGUAGAUUAUAGGUCAAAGAUAUAAUAAAGGAAACUGUCCAGUAUACUAAAAUAGUUUUGAGAAAAUUGUCCUGGUGGUAAAACUGAGAGUUUUUAUGGUUUGUACCCU